rnacentral:rRNA from 1 species
GCCACUGCUAUUGGGGUUCGGCUAAGCCAUGCGAGUGGAGGGCGUCCCGCAAGGGAUGGCCCCGCAGACGGCUCAGCAACACGUCGUCAACCCACCUUAGGGUGGGGGACAACCUCGGGAAACUGAGGAUAAUCCCCCAUAGGCGGGGGAGGCUAGAAUGCGCCCCCGCUGAAAGCUCAGGCGCCCUAGGACGGGACGGCGGCCUAUCAGGUAGUUGGUGGUGUGACG